rnacentral:rRNA from 1 species
CCCCUAGAUGUUCUGGGCCGCACGCGCGCUACACUGAACAGUUCAACAAGUCUUAACCUUGGCCGAUAGGUCUGGGUAAUCUUUGAACGCUGUUCGUGAUUGGGAUAGACCUUUGCAAUUAUGGGUCUUCAACGAGGAAUUCCUAGUAAACGCAAGUCAUCAGCUUGCAUUGAUUACGUCCCUGCCCUUUGUACACACCGCCCGUCGCUCCUACCGAUCGAGUGAUCCGGUGAAUUAUUCGGACUGUAACGUGUUCAGUUCCUGGAUGCAGUUAUGGGAAGUUUUGUGAACCUUACCACUUAGAGGAAGGAGAAGUCGUAACA